rnacentral:rRNA from 1 species
GAUGAACGCUAGCUACAGGCUUAACACAUGCAAGUCGAGGGGAAACGACAUCGAAAGCUUGCUUUUGAUGGGCGUCGACCGGCGCACGGGUGAGUAACGCGUAUCCAACCUGCCCACCACUUGGGGAUAACCUUGCGAAAGUAAGACUAAUACCCAAUGAUAUCUCUAGAAGACAUCUGAAGGAGAUUAAAGAUUUAUCGGUGGUGGAUGGGGAUGCGUCUGAUUAGCUUGUUGGCGGGGUAACGGCCCACCAAGGCGACGAUCAGUAGGGGUUCUGAGAGGAAGGUCCCCCACAUUGGAACUGAGACACGGUCCAAACUCCUACGGGAGGCAGCAGUGAGGAAUAUUGGUCAAUGGGCGAGAGCCUGAACCAGCCAAGUAGCGUGCAGGAUGACGGCCCUAUGGGUUGUAAACUGCUUUUAUAAGGGAAUAAAGUGAGCCUCGUGAGGCUUUUUGCAUGUACCUUAUGAAUAAGGACCGGCUAAUUCCGUGCCAGCAGCCGCCGUAA